CCUGUUUAAAAAAUAAAAGUUAUAAGAAAAAGAAUGCAAGAAGACAAGGUGGAUAGUACGCAUAUUAUUUACACAAAAUAAGAAAAUGAAUAAUUUCUGAUCUAAGGAAUAUUGAUAAAGUACUGUAUUUUUUUUCUAAUGCAGUAGUUAUGAAAUUCUCUGCAUUUUUCUAAAUACCCUGUAAUAGGAACCAACUCCUAUGCUUUCACUGUUUACAUUUUUAGGUACAGUGUCUUCCUAAAAAAUUACACAAGUACUGUAUAAAACUAUCUUGUGGAUAAAUGAAAAUCUCCGCAUACUCUUUGUACAGUAUAUAUCAAAUUCAACUUUCCCUACUUAAAAGGCCAAUAAAAUUACUGUACAGGUAGUUUUUUUUUUGUGCCAAUGGCUCAACUGUCUAGUUCUCUCACUAGUCCAUUUCGAAUUGGUUUUACUUUAUGUAAAAUCCUUUAUAGUUUGAGCCUUUUUGUGACAAGUGUUCCAUAUUUUUCACAUUUAUUUAUGCUUUAGAUGCAUUAACGCUAUCUGUACCUUAGUAAGAGAACUGACAGAUCACAGAUAAAAUGUUUAAAAAUAUCAGUACUGUACAGUAGAUCUAAUAUUAAAAAUCAGGGCUCUCUUUAAAAGUCGUACAUCAUUUUAUUUAAGCUCUUAAAACUUUUUUAUGGAUAAAAAAAUGCAUCCUCUCCUUGCUGGAAUUAUCCACAAGCAACUUUUCAACUUGGUUCUAUACCACAGAAAGUUUUGCUGAAGAAACUAAGAAAUAUUCCUCUAGUAUAUUGUUUAAACCUGUCUAAGUUUGUUUAUAAUUUAUAAAUCUCCCUGCAUCCUGUAGUUUAUUAAGUGGCAUUUACUUACAAGAUAUAACAAGUGGAGUUACUUUAAUUUCCUCCAACUUGAACAUUGUCCUGGGGUAUUUCUAUUCAUUACAAAUAAGGUGGAAUUCAUGUAUCACUGUACUCUUUAAAAUAUAUCACACUCAUACCAAGAAGCGAAGAAUUAAUGCUAUAAUUUUGUUAAAUAUUCGUGAAAGACUGUGGUGGGAAUGUACUUUUAAACUUCAACACCUCUGCAUUAUAUUAUUAAAGGAAGAUUAUAAAUGUUGUGAUGUUUCCCAUUAAAGCUCAUGUUGGUUCAAAUAUGCUUGCAUUCAGGCCCACAGGCUACAGUACCAUCAAUAUCAUGGAAGAAAUGGCAAGUUUAAAAAAUAUAUACUUGUAUUUACAGUCUAGUGCAUUUACAGGGGGCCUAUCAGGUUCUGUGCAGUGUGGCAGCUGUGUUUGUUUACAUUCAGCAGAAGUAAACUCACAAUAGUACACCCCUGUAAAUGCACUAGUGAUGGGGAUUGUGCAUGUUAGUUAAUACCGUAUAAGCUCGUGUCAAGAAGGAUACUAUUGUUAGAUCAUUAAACUUACACCGUCAGUCAUUAAGAUUAAGUAUUAUUCAUGCCUUAACCAACUAAUGCUUAGUAUUAUUACCAGAAAUUUGGAUAUAAAAAGCAAUUAAAUGGAUGCCUGUUAGUAUUGUUAUAAACUUUUCUCAUUUCAGUUUCAUUCAGUUAUAUUGAAUACAGUAUCCAAUACAGUAUUCCAAUAAUAAUUCUAGAGAUGUUCGUUGUUGUGAAAUAGUAACUUAAAACCACGAUGAAAAUAUGCAUCUCUUAUUAUAUCAGUGGUGCCGACUUGUGAGAAGGAACGGGUAAACAAUAUCUGGGGCCUUGUUGUGGAAAGGAAGUACCAUAGCAGAAUACAGUACACCUUUUACACUAGUAAAGGUGAAUGACAAUGAUGGGAAAAAUGGAAAUAAGUGUACUGUAUAUGCUGUUUCUGGACAUCCUGCAUCAUAAGAGGAAGAAGAGGACCCUCAAAAAGUCAAUGUUCGAGACUGAAAAAUGCAAUAAAAACAGGAAGGAACCACUAAAAAGAAUAUUAUUAAAUCCCAAUUUUGAGAUUUAAUUGAAUGAACAUUAAUAAUUAGAAUAAAAAAUAAUUAGUAUGAUUAUCAUAUCUGUAAUUACUUUUAAGAGGAGGAGGUUGUUUUGUCAAUCAAGGGGCCAAGAAAUUUGCUGUAUUUUCCAAUAAUCUCCUUGCAAAAUGUUCUCUAACUAAUUUUGGAGGGGAACCUUACAAGUACUGUAAUGUCCUCUUGAUUAACCAUAGUAUUUACAUUGAGGGUACUGCAAAUAAGCAAUGGUUGAAUAUUUAUUUUAUCUUUUGAUUAAGAAACUCAUUCCUUCUAUGAUGUAGUAUGGCUACAAAAAGAGCCAACACUUCCUCUUUAUUCAUUGGCUGUCACCUAUUCUCAUUAACUGCUGUAACAUUCCCAUAAACUUGCAGAGAUUUGAGCCGAGUGAUAACAUACUGCCCGAUAAAAAUUAGUGUUAAGCUAGGAUUCCAUUCACGUGUUAGCUGUUGCGUUAGCACCAAAAAUAUAUCACAUUGAAAUGUACACGGUUAUUUCCAUUGGCACGGUUACAGUACAUGCCAAUUACUCCCUGUAGCGAUAGAAGACGCAAACGCACUGCAAACGCGUGAAUGGAAUUCUAGCUUAAGGCUAGUAGCAGAUUAAGAUUAGCAAAGAUGGUACAAUAUGGUCAUAUCAGAGAAUGGAAUAUAAAUAUUUUAAAGGGAGUGAAGAAUAACAUUCAGAGGUGGAUGGUAGGAGAGAAAAGGAGAUUGAAGGAUGCAUUAGAAAUGAGAGGGAUGAGCAUCUAUGAAGCAGUGAUGUGUGUUGUGUCAAGUGACUUUUGGAGAUGGAUGUGCUGUUGGUAGGUUGUUUGAAGUAAGGAAAUUUCCCGGUGAUGGCAUCAUUGAUGGGUCAAGUCAGUGGAUUAUGCUAGAGGAAUGAUGGGAGUCUCAACAUAAGAAUUUCCUUAUAAAGAUGAACACUUAAAUAUUCCAACAAACUCUGAAGUCACUGGUCCAUCCAGCAAGGUUUAUACUGUGUUUAAAGUCUCUAUUUUUCUUAUUGGGAUACCAUGAAAUGUACAGGUACUUAUUUUUAAUUAUUUACUUUUUCCUCAUUAAGUGUAAUACUUUGUUCCUUCAGGGGAAAUACUUGCCCUAUUUCAGGUACGGACCAUCUCUAAAACCUCCAGUAUUAAAACAGAAAUUAAAUUAUUGUAAAGCUCUCUCUAAGUGUGUGCGUGUGUGUGUGUGUGUGAAGCAUUCCCCACUUGCAAUAAGAAAUAAGAGGCAAGAAAAUACUGUAAGCCACAAGAGAGACUGGGACAUUAAUUGAGGGAAGAGUAAAUACUUAAAAAAAGGAAAGAGCACCCUAUUUACUUUUACCAUGAUAGGACUUCUAUAGGCAACUGUUAGCCAAUCCAUCUAGUGUCUUCUUUUACAUGACCAGAUACGCAGAAGUAGUGUACACUACUGUACUGCACUAUAACCCAAUUGUACAGCAUUUAAAUGAAUAAGAUUUGCAAGAUAA
rnacentral:lncRNA from 1 species